AACAAACGCUGGCGGCGUGCCUAAUACAUGCAAGUCGAACGGGGAAAGCUUUCGGGUGAGUACUAGUGGCGCACGGGUGAGUAACGCGUGGAUAAUCUGCCUUAGAGUGGGGGAUAACUAGUCGAAAGAUUAGCUAAUACCGCAUAAGACCACAAGAACUGCGGUUCAAGGGGUCAAAGGUUUUUCGCUCUAAGAUGAGUCCGCGUAAGAUUAGCUAGUUGGUGAGGUAAUGGCUCACCAAGGCGACGAUCUUUAACUGGUCUGAGAGGAUGGUCAGUCACACGGGAACUGAGACACGGUGCAGACUCCUACGGGAGGCAGCAGUAGGGAAUAUUGCACAAUGGAGGAAACGCUGAUGCAGCGACGCCGCGUGAGGGAGGUGGGCCUUCGGGUCGUAAAGCUCUGUCGCAAGGGAAUAACACAAUGAAGGUACCCUGUAAGAAAGGAUCGGCUAACUUCGUGCCAGCAGCCGCCGUAACAC
rnacentral:rRNA from 1 species